rnacentral:lncRNA from 1 species
UCUAUAUAAAAGGAAUGUAUGUAAAUAUAUAUAUAAAGUACACAUAGUAUAGAGAGAGAAUGUUUUAUCAAACUGUGAAGAAUUAUAACUUUGAGAAUUUUGCCUGAGAACUUCAUGGUUAUAAUGAAGAGAAAGUUAAACUACUUCAGCUGAUCUUAAAGAGGUUCUUUGAUAACCUUAUUUGAUAAACAUUGACAUCUACUUAUUUGCAUUGUUCUCUGGAUUGCUUAGUAAGUACUGAAGUGUUAAGCAGAAACUUAAAAAGGUGUUUGCAAUAUUCUUCGUUCUAUAUUGAUAUCACAGAAUUGCGGGAGUUGGAAGGAACCUCAAGAGAUCAUUGAGUCCAACCCCCUGCUAAAGCAGGUACCACAAUAGGUUACACAGGUAGGUGUCCACACGGGUCUUGAGUAUCCCCAUAGAAGGAGACUCCACAGCCUCUCUGGGCAAUCUGUUCCAGUGCUCCAUCACCCUUACCAUAAAGAAGUUCUUCUUUGUGUUAGUACAGUGCUUCCUAUGUUCAAGUUUUAGGCUAUUACUCCUUGUCCUAUCACUGCAUACCAACCAAGAAGAGCCUGGCCUCAUCCAUUUGCCUCCCACCUCCCUUUAGGUAUUUACAAACAUUUAUCAGAUCCCCCCCCUUCUUUUCCCCAGGCUGAUAUGCUUCUUUAUUUUCCAGAUAUAAUCUAAAGAAAUACAUAAUAAUGGUUUAAUGGCUGAAUUAAUCACAAAAACAAGUGAAGCUUUUUGAUAUAAAAGGAAACUCCGAUUUUGGAUGGCUUUCAGGCUUGAUAAAAUGACUGAGUUGGAUUAUUAGCUUUCCAAGUAGCAUAAAUUUAAACAUAAGCAAUGUUAAAUGUCAAGGCCAUGCUGGUCUGUGGUCCAUGUCUCGCUUCCAUGAAAAGAUUAUCUUGGAGUAUGUUUGGAAUAUAAAUGCUGUUCGCAGCGUCAUGUUAGUCAGUUUGUGCUGGGAGGUCUGCAGCAUCGGGGACAUUGUGCUAUUCUUUGUUCUUCAGAUUCUAACUGUUUGAGCAAGGUGCAUCAGUAACCACUCCUUAGAUAUCACCACCAGCAUGAACCCCUGUUCACACUUGAAGCUGAAAUGUUCAGCCUUUGUAUUUGGUCAGUUUUUUUAAGUCACUGCUUGGUUAGUUUACACUGAAACUGCUUAUGAGAAGAAUAUAAAGAUCUUGGGACACACUUCUAAACAUGAAACUCUGAAGUUCUUGAAUGAGAUAAAUAGUACUUAAACUGAAAAUUGUUUAGUCUGUUGUCAAGCACUUUUUAAUAUAAAAACUUUGUGAAUUUAUUCCUGAGUCAUCUCCUGGGAAACCUGAGCUAUUAGG